rnacentral:lncRNA from 1 species
CAACGACCCUGGUGUGAUUUCUACAUUAAUAACCUGAGCUUUACAGUGAGGUAUCAUUUACACGUGUAUGUUAUAUGUGGCUUAGUUCUAAAAAUCCCUGCAAUCUCUUAUUUCCUAUAGAAUAAUGUUUGCCACAUGAUUUAACAGCAUUUCUUUGAAAACUUCUUGAAAUAAUUCAACUGUCAUUCUAAGGAUAUAUGUUCCAGGUUUCCAAUUCAAGAGAAGUUUCCA